AGUAGCAAGGACUUUGUCAGUACUGAGAGCCUCAGUUCAUUGUAUUUCUGUGCUGGGAGCUUUACUGCUUGGUCUCUGGAGUUUUUUCAAUACAAUUGUUUUUGCCCAUAAGGGGAAGGGAAUGAGUCUGAAUGUGUCUUUAAUUCUUCCGCAGCACGAUGCCAACUGGUUUGAUACUCAGUGUCUUUGGUCUUCUACUUUCACCUGUUCUCACACAAGGAAACUCAAAUGAUAUUUAUUAUUUGGAUGGACAAGAUGAUAUUCCAUUAAAUGGACCAGACAAUCCUGGACAGGGUCCUGUUGUUUGGGAAUGGAAACCACACUCAGGGCAAGAAAAGCAGCAGCUGGUUACUUUUGAGAGAACGUAUUGGUACGGGUGGGAUUCAAAACGGAGCGAAUACUAUAAAAAAAACAAUUUGUACUCGCAGAUUACUUGGGAUUCCGGUUCCAUUAAUCUGAGACUUAGAAACCCCACAUUUAACCUUGCAGGAUUGUUCACUCUAUUUCAGACACAGCCAAGUAAAUCCAUCCUGAAAAAAUACAACAUUUUUGGGAUCAAAGUUGAAUCAAGUGCCCACUCCCUAGACCCCAGGGUGGGCAGUGAUGUUACUCUCAGCUGUACCAUCUCCAAACUCUCAGAUACAGUCUGUCUCCAAUGGAAACAGAGAGAUUCAUCUCAGCAGAACAGCAGGAAAACCGAUCAGAUCCGAUUCAAUAACACAGUCUACCUGAUGGUCAAACACGUUACUGUGGAGGAUGAGAGGUUGUACACGUGUGAAGUACAGGAAAAUGGAUCGGUUAUUCGCACAGUGAGACAAGAUUUUUAUGUGUCCCAGGAUUUAUAUGGAAAGAAAUACACACUUUAUCGCUCAGGCACAGAUUACAGUGACCUCAAAUUAGUUUGCCUAUUUUAUAAUGGGUGUUAUUAUUAUAAUUUUGAAACCGCCAAAUGGAGAUGGAGGUCAGAUUCUGCACAUCAGGAGAAAAUCCUGGCUUCUGCAUCAACAUAUCAGGCCAUCAAUGUUGACAAGACUUACUUUGGGAAUCGACUGGUCCCCACAAGUUCAACGUUUAACGGCAUGAACUUCGAUGUGAGGAUUGUCCCUGUCCGGUUUGAAGAUGCAGGAGUUUAUAAAUGUUCAUGUGAAUCAUACAAAUUAUUGACCAUCACAUUAAUCACAGUUAAAGUCACAGCAGAACCCUCUGAUGCAGAGACUGAGGGAGACUUCGUUACUCUGACCUGCUCUGUCUCUGAUGUCACUGAAUCAAUCAGACUUGUUUGGAUCAAUAAUGAUGGUAAAAUUGUUGAAGAAAAGGCAUUGAAUAGCAGGAAUAGGGAAGAGAAAUCAUUAAGACUUAUUAUUCAGAAAGCUAACAGAGACAGAGGGAAAUGGACGUGUGUUUUGUUUCGUCAAAACAUGCCUCAGGUUUCAGUCCCAUACUAUUUGGAGCUCAGUGGAAGCUUGAAUGAAGCGUAUGUUCUCCAACAGGAAGGGUACUUUUUGUUGAAAGGACCGGACAAUCCUGGAAAUGGUCCCAUUAUCUGGGAAUGGAGGUCACACUCAGGGCAACAAACUACAAAACAGUUGGGAACUUUUCACAGAGAAGGUCAGCAGUGGGCUGUAAAAUGGAGUGAUGAUUACGAUAACAUGCCAGAUAUUUCUCAGAGAAUACAUGAGCACUACGGUACUCUCAAUCUGUUAAUGAGAAAUCCCACAUUUGAACUUGGGGGACUGUUUACCUGGACUCAAACACAGCCCAAUAAGAAUACCCUGAAACAGACUGAGCUAUUUGUUAUCAAAGUUGAGAUCGAUUCACAAAGGCCUGUAAUGGGCAGCGACAUCACACUCAGUUGCACCAUCUCCAGACUCUCGGAUACUGUCCGUCUUCACUGGAAACACAGAGACCCUUCUCAGCAAAGCAGGAUGAUCAACACUGAUGAGAUCCGACUGAAUAACACGGUCUAUCUGAUUGUUAGACAUGCUGGAGCAGAAAAUCAGAAUUCAUAUACAUGGGAUGUACAGGAAGAUAACUCUAUUACUCUCACUGGAAACAUAAACAUUGAUGUGAAUCAGAAUUUACAUGGUAAAACGUACACCCUUCAUCGGUCAGUCACAGAUCACAGUGAACUCAAACUGAUUUGUGAAGUUGAUUCUGUGGAAAUUGAAACAAAAUGGACCUGGUCUUCACAUUUAACGAAUGAAGAUAAAGAAAUAGCUUCCAUUUACAAAUCGAAGCUUGUCAACAUAAACAGGGCCUACUUUGGGAGUCGAUUGGUCUCUCCAGUGACCAAUUUCACUGACCUGUUUUUCUCUGUACGGAUUGUGCCUGUCCUGUUUGAAGAUGCAGGAGUUUACAGGUGCUCUCAGGGAUCAGAUAAUCAUGUGACCAUUAAUCUGGUCGCAGUAAAAGUCACAGCGGAACCAUCUGAUGCAGUGACUGAGGGAAACACUGUUACCCUGACCUGCUCUGUCUCACAUGUUUCUGAACCAAUCAGAUUUGUUUGGAUGAAUUGUGACGGUAAAAUUGUUGCAGAGAAAACAUUCAAGGAACAGAAGCAGGAAGAGGAUAGUUUACAGCUGGUUAUUCAGGAAUUCGAUAGAGACAGUUGGAACUGGACAUGCAUCUUGUUUCAUCAAAACACCCCCAAAGUUUUAAUACCUUAUCAUCUGAAGUAUAAAGAACGUUAUACUUUUCAACAUACCAAAGUCAUUGUAUUUGGGAGUCUGGCUCUUCUUCUCAUCAUUAUCCUGAUAGUAGUGCUAAGUCUGAGAAAGUGCAUGGGAGCCCGUAAACAAGGCUUGGAAAGUCAAAGAUCAAAGCCCUUGCAACAAGAGGAAAAUGUAGAAGAUAUAUCUCAGCUUUAUUCAAAUAUUAAUGAAGUCCAGCAAAUGCAAGCAGGUACAGAGUUACCAGAGAUUGGAACUAAUAGCUCUGAAUAUGCAACUAUCAGUGGAAUGGCAAAAGCAGACACUUGAACUUCUUCAGACAUAUUCGACAAGUGAGUCUCACUGCCCUCUGCCCGAACGGGACUCCUGGGUCACAUCUCAUACUUGGAGCUCCAUCACAGUUUCCACGGCAAUGUAUUGCGAAUCCCAGUCCAAUGGAAAAGGUCCUGCUCUCAUAAACCCAAGUCUGACUGGGAGAGUCCAGCGGGUGAGACAAAAUCCCUGAUAUUAAUACAAUUCUAGUUAUGUACUGUAUCACCAUUUCAUACUACUUUCAGUAUUUCUCCAGACAUUCCAUUGUGCAGAAAAUAAGUUGAAAACAUUUCCAGGUGCCUCCGUGUAGUAUGCACAAGUGGACGAUUCCCUCCGAUCCUCAAGGUCAGGUCCUUACCCCCAGUCAAUGCAGGAUAUUUUUACAUGAAGCCUGUAUUUCAUGUACUUUUCCACUUUACUGCAAUUGCUUAUUAUCAUGUCCAAUUAAUGCUUAAUAACUAACUCUUUAUCGUCUGUUUGACAAUAUCAUUUUAAGCCCAACACUCCAAACCACUGUACUUUUUAAUUCUCCCCAAUUAUAAAAAUGAUGUGUUGGUUUUUUAAGAUCUUAUUAACCAUAUUACUACUGAAUUGGGCUUCACAGGGCUAAAUGUUACAGUCCUUGCCCAGCAUAUUUGGAAGAAAGUGGGUGUCGCUCAUAAAAUAGUACAGUGGGAGUGGGGCCUGCUUAGUGGUUUGGUGCCCACCUUUGAUAUUUGACAAAAUUAACAGCCUUUCAUUUAAUACCAUCUUCAGCCCUUUAAGGUGUACAACAUGAAUCUAUGACAUAGAAAGAGAAGAUAUUCAUUAUGGAUCUAUCAAUUUUCAGAAAACUGCACCAG